CUUUACGUCUUUUAUCAUGCAGUAAAUACACAAUUUUAAAAAAUUCUAAAAAAAAUCAUUUUCAUCUGUUUGUAAAAUUAUUUCAUAUUUUUCUACACCUGAUUCAUUCCUCAGUUUUGGGAAAGUGUGUUCAGUUGAUACUGUAUUUUUUGUCUAAUCACACAGUUUAGAUACAUUGACUUAAGUAGGGUACACAAAAGAGCAACCUAAAUUCUGGAAUGCAAAUACUACUGUGCCACCUUAACCAAGACAUUACAAACUUGAAAUCAGUCAUGAUACCUAUGAUGCAUAGACUUCUCACUAUGAAACAUAUUACAAUAAAGAAUACUAGUCAACACUUAUUCAUAACAAAAAAAGUGAAAGAUUACACACCUACCCCAGCUGGCAGAUAUUAACUUUUUUUUAUCUUACCACUUUACUAUAGGAGUGAACAAAACCCAAAUAUAAGAUGUUUCAAAUCAUUACAGAAGUCAAACAUGGUGAUUCAGCAGGAAUUAAUGAAUUGCCCAUUCUAUUUAUAGUUAAUCUGACUGAAAGAAACAGUUUGAGCACCAAAUCAUGAAAAUUGAUAUUAAAGUCCAUUCCACAUUUUACAGCAUGCCUUACAUUUCUUUCAGCAUUUCAAGAUUAUGAAGGCAACACAACAAGACUCUUUAGAUGGCAGUUAGCUAUCAUUCUAAACUCUUUUUGACAGUAUAUGUACUAGAAUAUAUCUCUAAGUUGACUGUUUGUCUAUUUCUCAUGUGUGCAUUAAGUUAAAUUAUGUCCACUUACAUAAUCAGUUUACCUUUAUUGUGCUUUUCAUUGUCAGAAAAUCAAAACAAUUAAUAACAUUUGCAGGAAAAACGAAUAAACUAUUAUAUCUUGCUUAUAUACAAUCAUAAUUACAUUGUUUGUCAAAAAAAUGUCUUGUCAAUGUAAAGAAACCCCUAUUGCUAUCUCUAUUUCAGUCAAAUAUGAAGGCUAAAUGAAUAAGUGAGAACCCCUUUACUACUUAAGGGUUCCAAAAAAGCUCAUGCUGGUGUCAUGUUACCACAGAACUACAAAUCAAACCUGAAGAAAACUAGUAUAGCUGUACUUGUGUGUAAAAAAAAUGCAAUUCAUCUAUUUCGGUGAAAAUGAUAGGACGUACAGGCAACUAAAAUAUGUCGCGUCUCAAAUUCCAGUGGUUGCACAUGUGUCAGACAGUGCAAAAAGUUAAAGCGAGCAUUUUUAAUUAAAAAAAGUACUGCAAGUUACUUAAAAAUAAUGAAGUUCUACUUUCUAGGUGAAUUUUUACAUAAUUACCCACAGAUCCGGCAAAAAUUUGCUGAAUCAGCAAUUGUCACUCUCAGGAGUGAAAUUAAAGGGCUAUUUUUAUUAUAGUUGCCCUUAAUCAACUUUUUAUUGAUAAACAUACAAAUUGCAUAGGUGCAUAGGUAAAACAAUCCUUUAUUGAUUUAGUGUGAACAUAUAUAUCCCCCUUAAGGUGGCACGGUAGUAUAUGCUGGCCCAUAAGGGAUAAUGAUACCACUUUCUAACACUGCAAAAAAUUCUACAUUCACAGUUAACUGAAGUACUUUCAUUUUACUAUUCAGAAAUGAAUUUGAAUGUGUAUCAUGACCGUUUACUUUUUUUUUGCUAUUUUUAAAAACCUAAGACCACUAGUGCUUUUAGGUCUUUUAUCAUGCAGUGAAUACAAAAUUCUCAAAAAUUCAUUUUCAUCUGUUUGUAAAAUUAUUUCAUAUUUUUCUACACCUGAUUCAUCCCUCAGUUUGGGAAAGUGUGUUCAGUUGAUACUGUAUUGUUUGUCCAAUCACACUGUUCAGAUACAUUGACUAAGGUAGGAUACACAAAAGAGCAACCUAAAUUCUGGAAUGCAAAUACUAUUGUGCCACC
rnacentral:lncRNA from 1 species